GUUUAAUAAGAGCAUGACUGUGGCAUUAUGGGUCAGAACCAACAUGGAAGCCGAGAAAGACACAUGGGCCUAAAAUAACCUUAUUCUGCAUGUGGUCCAAAAGGCGCACACGGAGCUUUCAAAUAGGCAUGGCCCAGCCUGAGCUUUGUCCCUGUGAGGGUAUCGUGGGAGCACCUGAUGACCCAACUGCCAUCCAACCAUAUUGGUGAAAGUCAGUCUGCGGAGGUCCAACGAGAUAGGCUGUCGGCCCGUAGCCCAGCAAAAGAAACAAAGAGUCUACAUCAAGGAGCAGGCAAUGGUGCUUUGAACUGAAGCCUUGCUGGUACUUCCACCUUGUGUAUGGAGGAAUGAUACUUCUAGUCACUUAAAACUGCACUGAGAUCACCUAACUUGUUGCAGGAAGAUGUUCUUAAGGAAACAACACAGGGACGAGAAGGAAUAUUCAAGCAACAACUUUACAUCAACAACAUUUUUGAUCACAUUGAAUUUCAGAUGAAUUAAUCAUUGGUGUUCUUCUCCGUAUUUCAGGUGAUCUACAAUGUAUACUGUAAUUGCAGAAAGACAUCUUUAAUUUUGUAUUGAAAUACUUUUG